rnacentral:tRNA from 1 species
GCACCUGUGGCUCAAAGGAGUAGGGUGCCGGCCUCAUACGCCGGAGAUGGUGGGUUCAAACCCAGCCUUGGCCA